rnacentral:rRNA from 1 species
CCUACGGGCGGCUGCAGUGGGGAAUAUUGGACAAUGGGGGCAACCCUGAUCCAGCCAUGCCGCGUGUGUGAAGAAGGCCCUCGGGUUGUAAAGCACUUUCAGUGAGGAAGAACGCCUGGUGGUUAAUACCCAUCAGGAAAGACAUCACUCACAGAAGAAGCACCGGCUAACUCCGUGCCAGCAGCCGCGGUAAUACGGAGGGUGCGAGCGUUAAUCGGAAUUACUGGGCGUAAAGCGCGCGUAGGUGGCUUGAUAAGCCGGUUGUGAAAGCCCCGGGCUCAACCUGGGAACGGCAUCCGGAACUGUCAAGCUAGAGUGCAGGAGAGGAAGGUAGAAUUCCCGGUGUAGCGGUGAAAUGCGUAGAGAUCGGGAGGAAUACCAGUGGCGAAGGCGGCCUUCUGGACUGUCACUGACACUGAGGUGCGAAAGCGUGGGUAGCAAACAGGAUUAGAUACCCCGGUAGUC